UAGCUCAGUCAGUAGAGCAUGAGACUCUCAAUCUCAGCGCUGUGGCUUCAAGCCCCAC
rnacentral:tRNA from 1 species